ACGCUCGACACCUACGUGAGGCAGCAGUGGGGAAUAUUGCACAAUGGGGGAAACCCUGAUGCAGCGACGCCGCGUGAAGGAAGAAGUAUCUCGGUAUGUAAACUCCUAUCAGCAGGGAAGAAAAUGACGGUACCUGACUAAGAAGCCCCGGCUAACUACGUGCAAGCAGCCGCGGUAAUCUGAGCGGGCGUGGCAAGGC
rnacentral:rRNA from 1 species